rnacentral:lncRNA from 1 species
UAGAAACCCAUGAUCGUCCUCCUCCUUAACGGGCCAUCACCAGACAGACUGAAACUGCCCUUUUCCCUGGAGCCUCCGUAGGACUGCCUUGAGCCAAAGCUGACCCUGAUUUGCCUCCAUUUGCUCCCUUAGUUCAGAAGCCGAGACUUGAAAGCUGUCCUGUGGAGGAUAAAAGACACAUCAGCUGGCUGAACAUUUGUAAGAGCCUCAUAAAGCGACAUCUUCAGCAUGAAGCAGCUGACUGGAGCCAGACGCAGAAUUAUUUCAACACCUGUUGAAACAAGCUGUCUUGGGUCAGGUCCAACCUGUUGGUAACAGCUGGGUGCUGGAGCACAGAAUCAGCCAUGGCAGGGACCAGAAAUGCCACCAAAGUCAUUGCAAGGGACAGAGUUAAGGUCCCAGACUCCCUUCCUGGCCCAAAGCCUCACUUCAUCCUACACUAAGGCUGGAAGAGAAACAGUCAAACCUGAGAAAGCAAAGAUCUUGUGGAAUAACUUUGUUUGAAAACGAGGAACCUGUGCUGACCGCGUGGUGAAAAAUGCUUCCUACAUAUCUUUCUAGAUAAGAACAUUACUGAGAGGAACCGCAUUAUUGAUUCUAUAUUCAUUGAAGUUGUUAUGAAGAUUCCCAGAUGUCAACACCACAAGAUGGAAACCACUUCUAAAUGUACAGCUUGAGUGAAGAAUACACGGACAGAGAUUAUUUAAAAUACGCUUGGGAUGAUCAGCACAUCCAGUUUUAGAAAAUGUAUUUUUGGUGAAGCAUUAAUAUUUAAUUAUACUACAGAGAAGCUGUUUGAACACUUAGAAAGAAUUGGGCCGUUUUUAGAGGCCGUACUCCUGCUUAAAUGUUGCAUCCAAUGGACAGUGGUUCUUUUUGCCACAUGUACAGCAUUUACCGUGUUCCAUAACACAACUUAUCUGAUACCCUCGGGAUGUGAUGCAAGAUAGCACAUGACCAUUCUGAAGCCUGUGGUGCACAUAAUGCUAUCUUCCAGCCAGGCAAAAAUCUCCAUCAACUGCAAGAGGGGCCAAUAAGGAGCAUCUCAGUUAUCCUCACCUGAAUUCAGAAACUUCCUUCACUGUAAAUCCCACUCAGACAAAAGAAAGCAGCAAAUUGUCAAUUGGGUUGCGGGGCAUUUUUUACCAGUGCCAGUCUGUCCUUGGAAAAAAUGGCCUAUUCUGGUUUUCAAUGUUUUUAGUUAAAAUUUGUCUCAUUUGAGGAUCAUCUGAUGCCCGUUGUCUGACAACUCUUAGAAAAAAUAAAUAUUCAUAUAAUUCUAUUCUUAAGUUUCGAGCAAGGUUGACAAUUGUAUAUUUACAAAACAAACAACCACAAAACCCACAAACCCACCCACACAAACCACACAUACAAGCACACCGAGAGCAUGAACC